AUUGAACGCUGGCGGCAGGCUUAACACAUGCAAGUCGAGCAGGGUGAUGGUGCUUGCACUAUCACUUAGCGGCGGACGGGUGAGUAAUGCUUAGGAAUCUGCCUAUUAGUGGGGGACAACAUCUCGAAAGGGAUGCUAAUACCGCAUACGUCCUACGGGAGAAAGCAGGGGAUCACUUGUGACCUUGCGCUAAUAGAUGAGCCUAAGUCGGAUUAGCUAGUCGGUGGGGUAAAGGCCUACCAAGGCGACGAUCUGUAGCGGGUCUGAGAGGAUGAUCCGCCAAACUGGGACUGAGACACGGCCCAGACUCCUACGGGAGGCAGCAGUGGGGAAUAUUGGACAAUGGGGGGAACCCUGAUCCAGCCAUGCCGCGUGUGUGAAGAAGGCCUUAUGGUUGUAAAGCACUUUAAGCGAGGAGGAGGCUCUUUUGGUUAAUACCCAAGAUGAGUGGACGUUACUCGCAGAAUAAGCACCGGCUAACUCUGUGCCAGCCGCCGCCGUAA
rnacentral:rRNA from 1 species